UACGAGGGGUGCAAGCGUUGUUCGGAAUUACUGGGCGUAAAGCGCGUGUAGGCGGCCAAUUAUGUCAGGUGUGAAAGCCCUCGGCCUAACCGAGGAAGUGCGCCUGAAACUGAUCGGCUUGAGUACGAGAGAGGAGGACGGAAUUCCCAGUGUAGAGGUGAAAUUCGUAGAUAUUGGGAGGAACACCGGCGGCGAAAGCGGUUCUCUGGAUCGAUACUGACGCUAAGACGCGAAAGCGUGGGGAGCAAAC
rnacentral:rRNA from 1 species